rnacentral:lncRNA from 1 species
UUUCUGAUGGUCAUUUUUUUUGGGUUGGGAUACAGGAAGAGUUUGCAGACAACAAAAUUUCUGAAGCUGAUAGACAAAAGUUAAAGAUGCAGAAUUCGACCAAGAUGAAACAAGGUAUUUGUAAUUUUUUGAAUAGUAUCAAAGAGUUGAAGGAGUCAAGGAAUGUAAAGUCGUGGUUCACAGUCCAUCCUUUAUUACUAGAAGAAGGGGCUUGGAUGUAAAGUUAUGUUGGCAAUGUGGUCCUAUUCAACUGAACCAUGUGGAAUUCUCAUGCAUUCACCAUUAACUAGGUUUUUUGGGGGGUAGUUGACACAGACUCAUUUUCUCUUGAUCUUCUUUUCUCGCAAUAUUGUCUGAUUAGGUUUUUCAGUCUUCUUUGAAGUUACCGUUGAUAUCUCGUUUCUUAGAGAUUUUCUGGUCUAUGUUGUUUGGUCUAACUGAUGACUUAAUGGCUUAGUCCCUAGUGUUUGGACGGAAUGAGUGCUGUAUAUUCUUGAGAGGUUUGAGAGGGUUACUAUGUUGUAUCAUUGUGAAUAUUUGUUAACUUCGUGACCAUUUCUGGUGUUCUGUGUUAUGAUUUCUGCAGUGCUUGUGAAAAUUUACCGAUUUCGUGGUGCUUGGAUUCUAUACAGUAGGAUUAAUCGAUUUAAGGUAAAGCUCAUUGUGCAGGCAGUCGCAGGCAUCUGGAGAGAGGUGGAGGUGCAAGCUCUUUAAAUUCUGGACGAAACCUUGAAACAAGGCAACACAAGUUGGGUAUAAAGAAUGGCAAAGACAUCCUAAAAAAGAGAGAGAGUAGCAUUUCGUAUAACACUUCCAGGCAAUCAGCAAGCAUUUCUUCUUUAGGUGAUAGCAGAGAAAAGGUAUCAAUCAUCACAACUGUCAGAUGUAACUUUUGAGUGGUAAUGACCACCACAAUGUUUGUUGUUUUAUCUGAUUGUGUUGGAUGAAUUGGUUUUACCAAUUAUUUUAUUUGGUACCAUUAGUUGGACAAAAGUUCUCUUUGGCCUAGUGUAUUCUACUCCAAGAGUGGAUUAAUGAUAUGUAUUUAUUAUUGCAAAACCAAUUAAGGGUGAAUGAGAAAUUACUGCCGAAAGAUGAACACUUGAAGUUGAAAUAAAGUGGGAAUGAAAAUUGGUGGGAAAUUGGAGAAUCCCAACCUACAUGCUAGUAGCUUGAGCCAAAACCCACAUGCGCUCUGUCGGUCGACAUGGCACCGAAAUUUUGCCCAAUUGUUUAGUCACUAUAAAAGAUCAUUUUGAAUAUAAAUUAUUGCAUCAGGUAACUAUAAUCACAACUGUUAAAUAUGAUUUUGUGUAGUAAUGACCGCCAUAAUGUUUAUUGUUUUAUCUGAUUGCACCAGGAAGCAGAAAGUUCUUCUAAGAAAAGAUUCACUCAUUUGUCAGAAGAACUAGACUUAGACGAUAGGUGGUUACCGCUUCUGGAUCAUUUGAGCACUUUUGGUCUUAAGGAAUCACAUUUUAUUCAAAUGUAUGAAAGGCAUAUGCCAUCCCUUCAGAUAAAUGUUGACUCUGCUGAGGAAAGAUUGGGAUAUUUGUUAAGUGUUGGCGUCAAACACAGAGAUAUCAGAAAAAUAAUUUUGAGACAGCCUCAAAUUUUGGGGUACACCAUCGAAAACAAUCUGAAGUCUCAUGUUGCCUUUUUGGGAAGAUUGGGCAUUCCAGAAUCGAGAAUAGGGCAAAUAAUUACUGCCACCCCAUCCAUGUUCUCUUACAGUAUUGAUAAUUCUUUAAAACCUACAGUCAAGUACCUUCUUGAGGAGAUAGGAAUCGAGAAGCAUGAUCUGAGUAAAGUUGUGCAGUUAAGCCCUCAAAUUCUGGUUCAGCGGAUAGACAAUACAUGGACUGCUCGUUUCAAUUUUCUGACAAAAGAAUUGGGAGCACCCAGAGAGAGUAUAGUAAAGAUGGUCACUAAACACCCUCAAAUACUACACUACAGCAUUGAAGAUGGAUUACGCCCCAGGAUCAAUUUCUUAAGAGGCAUUGGGAUGUGCAUCUCUGAUAUACUGAAAGUAUUAACUAGCCUUACACAGGUCAGCUGGAUUCUCUUGUGCAAUUGAUUUUGUACCUCAAACUACAAGCUCGACCAACUUGUCCUCAAAAUUGAAUCCAUGCCUUUUACCUUUUCAUACAGAUCUUGUUUUGCUUAACAUCACAAUCAAAUUAAAUUUUCAGAUGAUGCCAUCUGUGCUUGCAGGUAUUCUCUCUGUCAUUGGAGGGAAAUCUGAAACCUAAAUACAUGUACUUGAUCAAUGAACUUAAAAAUGAGGUCCAUUCCCUGACCAAAUAUCCGACAUACCUAAGCUUGUCUCUUGACCAGCGAAUUCGUCCUCGCCAUAGGUUUUUGGUUUCCUUGAAGAAAGCUCCGAAAGGGCCAUUUCCUUUGAGCUCACUGGUUCCAACUGAUGAAAACUUUUGCCACCAGUGGGCAGGAACUAGCUUAGACAAAUAUCUGGAUUUCCGGGAGAGAUUGCUGCUCAAAGAGUUUGCAAAGAAGUACGAAAGACAAUGAUUAGUUCCAUUCUCAUUCCUAGUCUACUUGGUAAUAGAUCACACACAUUACAGCAAAUUGAGAUGCAUAUACUCUUUUCCUGGGAACACUUGAAUAUUAAGGUGAGUCAGAUGUUCAUGAUAAUUGACACAUACAUUUAUAUCGAAGAAACAUGUAUAAUGUUAAUUUCUGUUUUAUAUCUGUGCUAGCUGUUUCUAAAUUUUGCUAU